UACGGAGGGUGCGAGCGUUAAUCGGAAUUACUGGGCGUAAAGGGCACGCAGGCGGUUAGUUAAGUCAGAUGUGAAAGCCCCGGGCUCAACCUGGGAACAGCAUUUGAAACUGGCUAACUAGAGUUAGGUAGAGGGGGGUAGAAUUCCACGUGUAGCGGUGAAAUGCGUAGAGAUGUGGAGGAAUACCGAUGGCGAAGGCAGCCCCCUGGGCCAUAACUGACGCUCAUGUGCGAAAGCGUGGGUAGCGAACAGG
rnacentral:rRNA from 1 species